CUCUCCACAUUUAUCCCCAGUCUAUAACUCGCAUAUUUCGUGUUUUCAAACAGAAAACCGUAAUUCAGGAGUGAACAGCAUCCUCUGUAAGGUGUCACAGGAGCAGCCUGAAAUCCAUUAGGCAGUCAUUCUGAAGCUGUGGUGAAAUCGAAGGGAAGCUAAUGUUGCAGCUAGGAAGAUGAGAUCCAGGCUGAGGAUCACACUUUUUCCAGAAUACUUUUUUAGUGUUUCCAAAGCCAGCAAAAGCCGUUUAGAAGUCUCAUCUCCAGAAUGCCAGAAUACACAAAUGAGUCCUGUGCACUUAUCUUGGGGGAAACAUUGUUCCAUUCUUAGUAACAUGCCUGUUUGGCCUGUGGUCUGAGGUACUUACAACUUGCUGCAGUGUGGUAAAUGUGUCCCUUUUGAAACACUGUUCUGGGGACUUCAGAGAUGACGGACUGCAACCUACCACCUCAUAAAUGAGGGAUCUGAGGUACAAACUGGAACCCGGGUCUUCUGGGCUCAGAGAACUCUCCUCACUACAGCAGACUGCCUGUUUCCAUUUAGGGGAAUGAGAUGCUCUUUCAUAAAUGAUACCAAGUGCAAGAGAACUUAAGGCAGCUCCAAUCGAAGACUGUCUUGGCUGCUUCUGGAAACUACAGAUCACUACUCCCGAAGUCAAAAACGACUAGAACACAGCUUAAAAAUCAAGCCAUUUAAUUGUAUCUUUGAAGGUAAACAAUAUAUGGAGCUGGAUCACAACCCCUGAGGAUGCCAGAGCUAUGGGUCCAGAACAUGGUGUGGUAUUAUCAACAGAGUUCAGAAGGGUCUGAACUCUACGUGUUACCAGAGAACAUAAUGCAAUUCAUGCAUUCCACUUAGCAAUUUUGUAAAAUACCAGAAACAGACCCCAAGAGUCUUUCAAGAUGAGGAAAAUUCAACUCCU
ensembl:lncRNA novel transcript, antisense to PSMD7